UAAAUAUAUUCCAAAUUCGAGUAACUAAUUAAUGAGAUAAAUAUUUUUCAUUAUAUAGAUGAGAUUUAUUCCAUAUCAUAGAUAGUGUGUAAUUAGAUUCUGUAAAUUUGCUUUAAGUUGUUUAACAAUUCUUCACCAAACCCCUUGACGGCCAAACGCUAAGAGCAUUUCAUACAAAUAUAUAUACUAAGAUUAAACAACGUAUUCGAUGCCUUUAUUUAGAUUGAAAGAGGUAGAAGAGACGCCGAUCAAGUAGGGUGUUCCGGCGGCCUUAAUCACCAUCGGGUUCUCUUUAUUUUUAAUUUCUCUACUACAUGUUUUGAUUUGAAAUGUGGUACUGAGCUCAAAUUCUGAUAAUUAAGCAGUUCUAGCAGUGCUAUUUAGAUCAUCCCAUAACAAAAAAAAUUGGUGAUUGUACAGAACUCAAGAUAAAGCUUGACCGUUGCUUUCGACAUGAAGUCCAAGAGAAAAGGUUGAAGAAGAAACUAAGGAUUCAGACAGGUCUUUGAAGGCAGUUCAAAGAGUGUGUGCUAUCGAAGUUUUGCUUUUUAGAAUUGUUAUUUGACUGAUUCUUUUAUAUUUUUUGAUUUUGUUGUACAAUCUGGAUAGAUACUUUAUUUUAGAUUGUACAAAGUUUUGUUAACAAUUUCUUGUAUACUUUCAGAUCUAUGAUAAUCUUUCUUGAGUUUAGAAAAUGAUAUUGCUUUGAUUUAAUACUUA